GAUGAACGCUAGCGAUAGGCCUAACACAUGCAAGUCGAGGGGCAGCAUAGAGUAGCAAUACUUUGAUGGCGACCGGCGCACGGGUGAGUAACACGUAUGCAACCUACCUACAUCAGGGGAAUAACCCGGAGAAAUUCGGACUAAUACCGCAUAAUACAGGGAUGCCGCAUGGCAAUAUUUGUUAAAGAUUUAUCGGAUGUAGAUGGGCAUGCGUUCCAUUAGCUAGUUGGCGAGGUAACGGCUCGCCAAGGCAACGAUGGCUAGGGGAACUGAGAGAUUUGUCCCCCACGCUGGAACUGGGACACGGACCAGACUCCUACGGGAGGCAGCAGUGAGGAAUAUUGGUCAAUGGACGAGAGUCUGAACCAGCCAAAUCGCGUGAAGGAAGACUGCCCUACGGGUUGUAAACUUCUUUUGUACAGGAAUAAAAGACAUUACGUGUAAUGUAUUGCAUGUACUGUACGAAUAAGCAUCGGCUAACUCCGUGCCAGCCGCCGCCGUAA
rnacentral:rRNA from 1 species